GAAACCCUGCCUGUGACGAGCUGUACAAGGCCUGGCUCAGCGGCUGGCGGGACAGCAACUGGAGACUUAGGAAGAAAAACAACUUCUAAACGUGGUGUUCGUGCAAGAAAGUAUCAGAAAGUGGAAAAUCUCUGAUCCACGCCAUCUGUUUGUCUCAUCCAGUGGUGCAUUCCAAUCUCUGCAACAGAAGAUUCAUGACAACCUGCCAAUAAAAUUCCUGAGAUUGUCAAAACGCAGAAUACUUCUGAAAAAGUUUAAGAUAAGAUUCUUUCAUGUUUAAAUUCCUCAUACACACCCUUUCUCUCAGAGCACAGCUGGCUUCAGUACCAGAUUUCAGAUGCUGUGAAAUUAAAUCCUCUCUUAGCCAUAGAUGGCUAUCAUUGCUUGGGAACUGACACUAUCAUGGUAAGACUAAAAUCCAAACAGCAGUGGCUUGUUCAGGCCAGGGGCAGCCUCUGGAUGCCAGGCAUAUUCAGUUUAUUUAAGAGAAAAAAGUAACCUCAAGCACUUUUGGGUUUUUUCUUUUUUUUUUUUUUUUUGAGGAAGAUUAGCCCUGAGCUAACAUCUACUGCCAAUCCUCCUCUUUUUGCUGAGGUAGACUGGCUCUGAGCUAACAACCGUGCCCAUCUUCCUCUACUUUAUAUGUGGGACGCCUGCCACAGCAUGGCUUGACAAUCGGGGCAUAGGUCCGCACUCCAGAUGCCAACCGGUAAAUCCUGGGCCACUGAAGCGGAACGUGUGAAUUUAACUGCGGUGCCACCAGGCCAGCCCCUUUUGUUUUCUUUCAGUUGUGAAAAAAUGCAAGUAUACAAUUCAGAGUUAGAAGCUUAAUCAUCUAAAAGGCAAAUUUAGUAUUAUGAAGCAACUCCUUUGUACAUCAGCUUGCCAGUUCUCCUGGACAUUAGUAGAAUCUCACUAAGGAAGUUAUUUUUUCGAAGCCAUAAAGAAAAAUUACGAAAACAAUUCUUGAUUGAGUAAAACUCUCCCAUUGACCUCCAGAGGAGUUUCUCAAUCACUUCCCCUGUCCUUUCUAAUCAGUCCCUACGCCACACCAAGUGCAGAAAAGACUUGAACCUGCGUUUUUCCAACCCAAGUUUACUGUUGCUUUUUAGGAUAUUGUAUGAAUUGUGCGCCAGCCAUCUAGACAAUGCUAGAGGAACAACAGUGUACAGGAAAAUGCAAGGGUCCUGGCUCUGUCUUAGAGGAGUAGAAUCAUAUUCAGCAGAUCCUGCAUAUUCCUGGAAGGGGCUUUCUGACCACAUGAUCUUCAGGGUGACACAUGGACAAGAAACAGAUCUUCUUCUUGGGGAAAAAUACCAGCACACAGUCAACUUCUGGAAAAGGCAGUUCUUACUUUGAUGCAUCAUGGAAGAUCACCUAAGCCAAAAUAAAUAUCAAACUGUCCAAAAAGCA
rnacentral:lncRNA from 1 species